ensembl:snRNA U2 U2 spliceosomal RNA
AUCGCUUCUCUGCCUUUUGGCUAAGAUCAAGUGUAGUAUCUGUUCUUAUCAGUUUAAUAUCUGAUAUGUCCUCUAUACGAGGACUGCAUAUUAAGCCGAUUUUUAGCUCUGGGAGAUGAAAAAGGGGCUUGCUCCGUUCACUCCAAGCAUCGACCCGGUAUUGCAGCACCUCCGGGAACGGCGCACCCUUU